GGUAGAGUAUAAUGAAGAAUCAAACUCUUUGAUGAAACGUCUUUUUACGAUGAACGUUGAUGUGAAUGUGAGAGGUGAACAGACUGAUUAGUGAUUAAGUUAUCACGAUCGUUUCUCCUUUUACCGUUUCUUCUCGUCGCAUGGCGUAAACCGUAAACAUACAUACACGCGCUUCGAUCAAAAUCCACAUCGCAGUGUGGUAUCAAUCUACAAACAUUUUUGUCGAACCAACGGACGACGUCGACUGCUAAGGCAACAAAGUAUGCGCCAUUUACUUACAAAAUCUUACUUAAUUCGAAAAAUUUGAAGCUUGUACGAUUUGGAAAUGCACACUGUUGUCAAAACUAAAAAUUUUAAACGUGAAUACUACGGUCGAAUGAUAUUUGAUUCAAGUUCGACAUGUAAAUAUGAACCAAGAACGAAACACGCAAUACGCGUCAAGUCGGUAUAAUAACGCGACAAAAACACGUAAGUACCAUUUUGGUCCGCUUCAGAGAGACGCGGCGCCGCGUAUCUGUAUGCCAGUGACGGGGAUGACUAGUACUGUACUGUACGUUAUGGGGCCGCUGAUACUCCGUCUAUAAUUCAUCGGUGUUCGAAUGCCAAUCACCAUUCACGCACAAAUCACUUAAUAGAAGACCGAGCUUCGUUCGUUCGCAGAUGUUGACAGCGACCGCAAAUCGUAUAAAGAGUCAUAAUGCGAAAGCAAAUUUUGACAACUAAUUCUUCGCAUCGCAGUUUUUUUUUUCGAGGUGAAACGCAGUGAAACGAAGAUAGAAAAGCUACUUCUCCGCCGAUUUCGAUAAUUUGUGAAUUCUGUUUAUAUAUGAUGACACAAGACAUAUGGAACCCCUUUCGGAAACUGACUGUAUACCUAAAAACAAUGAAAACAGUUCAUAUAAAUAUAAGGAAUUUUCUGUUGUGAUUUCGUGUUAUCUGAUCACAUUUACAGAAGAUGCUCAAAAUGGCCAACUUAUAUUUCGAGAUUCGAAUGUCAUAAAAUUAAAACAGCAAGGAUAGGGACGUCAAGUCGAUGUAACUUUCGACCAUCGCCACCUUCAACGACGUUCUUGUAACCGACGAUUGACUGUAGGAGAUUGAAUGGAAACGGUGCCUAUAGGUAAAUGACUUCCGUAAUCAGAGGCCAUUUCACAAUUUUCCUGUACCGAGGUGCAAUUUAUCUAGUGAAUGUAUUAUUUUCAGCCACUCACUGAUCACUAAUCACUAGUAUUUUAAAUUCACAAACCGUAUAUUACUAUGGAAUCACUUCGACAAUUAACCGAAUGCACAGAACUUGUGGAAAAAAGAGAGAAUUACUAUUUAGUUAGUAUUAUUAUUUAAUAGAAUAAAGUAUUAUUCCAUUAAAAUCUAUGAAAUUCUGUUUACGAUCAGUAUGCACAAAUCUGUGUUAUAUUAAUCUGCGCUAUAAUUUAUCCUUGUUGUUGAUAUCACUAGUGAACAAUUUGAUUUAACUAAAGUCAUGACGAAUUAUUUAAUCAAACAUAACGAAUACUGGGUAAUAGGAUGGGAAGGUAAUAUGAAGGAAGAUGGCUACAGAUAACAAGGACAACUUGAGACGAGGCGACGCGCGACGAAAGAAAGACAUAAUCCGGAUUACGCUUUCGUUUCGAGGAUGGUAGAUUCUUAAUUAUCGGAUUUGAAAGUAUAUGAGUAUGUAUGUAUAUAUGCUAGUUGAGUCUGAUGGAACUGGGACUCAAUUAAAAAUUACAUGGUCCUGGAUUAGAAUUUCAAUAAAGUUUCAAAUUACUGUUCAGCCACCCAGAUACAGAAACGAUUAUAUGUACUUACUAUGUAUACGUAUAUAUAUAGCAAAUAUCGUAAAGAAGAAAGAAAAGUAACAUGACCGAAAGAAAAGUCAAUUUUUCAAGAAAUUGAUCUCAAGUAGAAAAUGUAUCAAUUAAAUUAAUCAACCAUUUAACAGUGAAAAAUCUAUUUUCCUUUACGAUUUAGCUGAAAAGUUUUGAAUUUCGGGGGUCUAAUAAAAUAUCGUUUACGUGCAUUGUUUAAUAUUAAGGAAAUGAUUAAAAUAUAUAUUACUCUCUAUGUAUUAUAUAAUCGUAAUUUUAUAUAAUCGUAUUUUUACCCAUCAUUCGUAAGACUCGCGUAAGGACUUAAUGGCUAAUAUGUACAUUAAUUUUCUCCGGUUAAAAGUACUCGAAACUUUCAGACUACAAAUUCAGAUAUAUUCCCUAGUCUGCCAUAACAAGAAAACUAACAACGAAUCAACCAUUUUUCCAACCAUUCCAUUUGUUUUAAGCGAUGUUUAACGUGGUUAUUGAAAGAAUUAAUGGUUUGCAUAGUUAAUGUGAUUAAGAACGAGUCGUAAAUUAUCAAAACGAUCAAACAGUAUUGUAUAACAAAUUAUUCCUGAUUUUACACAUGUGCGCAGAUUGUACAAAGUAAAUAUCCGUGAUUUCAUUAGUCAUGAUAAAGAGAAAAAGCAGAAUUUUUACGCUUUUAGAUUUUUUCAUCUUUUUCAAUUUUCAAGAACAAUGAACAUAUAUGUGUAUACGUGUAUGCACAGUAAAGAGCACAACUGAAACAUUGUUAAGAAAUUUUGUAUGAAUCGUUAUUUAUCGUUUACUUUUUAUAAACACUUACAUAGAACUGUCCAACUUGGAUAAAAGGAUAAUUGAUUUCUCUCCUAAAAUAAUAAAUAUAUUAUUAAGGAUAUAAGGACGACCGAUAAUAUUAUCACCGCAAGACGAACGAAGAAUUGUGUGUCUUAUCACAUCUGAUAAUGUUUCAUCUAUCAGUAUAGCUGCAAAAUUAUUGAAACAACAGGAAUACGGAUAAACAAAUGGACAGCUUGAAGAAUUUUUAUAAUGAAAAAGCUGAUUUUAAAACUAUUGAAAGAAAGAAGAAGUCAAUGUUGUCGAAGAAAAAUAUCAAACUUCAUUUGUCAUUUGCCAAAAAAUAUCAAAAUUGGACAAUUGCUGAUUGGGAACGUGUAAUUUGAUCGCACGAAACAAAAGUUAACAGAAUUUUCUCCGACAGAAUCUCGUGGUACUAAAUUCGCAGAGGCGAAUCUCUCAAACCACGAUAUGUGAAGCAAACGGCAAAAUAUGAAGGUGGUUCCAUUAUAUUCUGAGAGAGCUUUAUAGCUUUUGGCGUUGAUUCACAUUACAUCGAAUUAGUGGUAUUAUGAACCAAUACACAUACAAAGAUAGUUUGCAGCAGUGCCGUUUACAUACUGUUGAGAAUAUGCCAAUUGCUGAAUAAUGUGUAAUAUUCCAACAUGAUCGAGAUUCGAAGCAUACAACCACAAGCGUACAAGAGUGGCUUAAAGACGCAAAAAUUUUUGGCGUCGGAAUGUUCCGCUCCAAGCCCCAAUCUCAACCCAAUUGAGAAUCUAUGGUGAUUAUUGAAGAGGCGUCUGCGAAUACGAUGUACCGUCGACGUCAAUUACAAAAUUAGAAAACAGAAUUUAGAAACACUGGAAAAAAUAUCUUCAGAAUAUCAUGAAACAAUAGAGCAUUCUAAGACAAAUUAAUUAAUAUAUUAAUGUUGUUCUAAAAGCGAAAGGAGUAUGGGCAGGAUAUCGAGAAUGUAUUUAUUCUGAAAUCAUCAUUAAAAAGUUCCGCCUGGGCAGGCGACCUAAACGGACGUGCGAAACAGUGCUCC